rnacentral:ncRNA from 2 species
UGCACGGGAGCCCCGGGGAGCCGGGGCUGAGAGGAGGGCGCGUACCGCCCUCGACCGUCGAACCUGAUCCGGGUAAUGCCGGCGCAGGGAGCA